rnacentral:rRNA from 1 species
AUCGAACGCUGGCGGCAUGCCUUACACAUGCAAGUCGAACGGCAGCACGGGUGCUUGCACCUGGUGGCGAGUGGCGAACGGGUGAGUAAUACAUCGGAACGUACCUUAUCGUGGGGGAUAACGCAGCGAAAGCUGUGCUAAUACCGCAUACGCCCUGAGGGGGAAAGCGGGGGAUCGAAAGACCUCGCGCGAUUAGAGCGGCCGAUGCCUGAUUAGCUUGUUGGUGGGGUAAAAGCCCACCAAGGCGACGAUCAGUAGCUGGUCUGAGAGGACGAUCAGCCACACUGGGACUGAGACACGGCCCAGACUCCUACGGGAGGCAGCAGUGGGGAAUUUUGCACAAUGGGCGCAAGCCUGAUGCAGCGACGCCGCGUGAGUGAAGAAGGCCUUCGGGUUGUAAAGCUCUUUUGUCAGGGAAGAAACACCGGCUCUAACACAGUCUGGGAAUGACGGUACCUGAAGAAUAAGCACCGGCUAACUACGUGCCAGCAGCCGCCGUAA